CAGCUGCCUAUUCCUUUUGAUCGAUCACAGGAGUUGAAAUCAAUCCAGCUGCUCUGUAAAUUUCUACGGAUGGUGUAAAGAGGGCAGAGCUUCUUAAGAUCAGUUUUUCCUUGCAGAUGAGCUUGCUGAAGAGGCAAAUAGGCUUGUGAACUAAGUGGAAGCUCUUGGUGAAAUAGCUGAACAACUGGGUAAAAAAGGCUGGAAUUUCAAUUUGAAACAUUGUG